rnacentral:rRNA from 1 species
AUUGAACGCUGGCGGCAGGCCUAACACAUGCAAGUCGAGCGAGCGGCGGACGGGUGAGUAAUGUCUGUGAAACUGCCUGUUGGUGGGGGAUAACUCCUGGAAACGGUAGCUAUUACCCCAUACCCUCUGAUGUGCCCAGAUGGGAUUAGCUAGGAGGUGGGGUAUCGGCGCACCUAGGCGACGAUCCCUAGCUGGUCUGAGAGGAUGACCAGCCACACUGGAACUGAGACACGGUCCAGACUCCUACGGGAGGCAGCAGUGGGGAAUAUUGCACAAUGGGCGCAAGCCUGAUGCAGCCAUGCCGCGUGUGGGAAGAAGGCCUUCGGGUUGUAAAGCACUUUCAGCGGGGAGGCGUUACCCGCAGAAGAAGCACCGGCUAACUCCGUGCCAGCAGCCGCGGUAAUAC